UAAUAAGUGUCUUAUGGCACCUUUUAAAUCCAUAUCCACCUUGUGUGCAAUGUCAGUCGAUCUUCUUCAUGGAGAUCGACCAAACAUCAACCUUUAUCUUUUAACUCUUUGUCUGGAAAAUAUUAUGAAUAAACAAUUCAAAAUA
rnacentral:misc_RNA from 1 species